UACGGAGGGGGUUAGCGUUGUUCGGAAUUACUGGGCGUANAGCGCGCGUAGGCGGAUUAGAAAGUUGGGGGUGAAAUCCCGGGGCUCAACCCCGGAACUGCCUCCAAAACUACUAGUCUAGAGUUCGAGAGAGGUGAGUGGAAUUCCGAGUGUAGAGGUGAAAUUCGUAGAUAUUCGGAGGAACACCAGUGGCGAAGGCGGCUCACUGGCUCGAUACUGACGCUGAGGUGCGAAAGUGUGGGGAGCAAACAGG
rnacentral:rRNA from 1 species